GCAGAGGAGGCAGUGAAGGGCGAAGAAAACAAAAGAAAACAAAGAAAACAAAACGGAACGAAAAAUAAGAAAAAAGAAGCUCGACCCCAAAUAGAAGGUAAGAGGGUCGUCUGUUACCUGUCACCUGUUACCUGUUCACCUGCCCAUCGUCCACGUGAGCCAGGCGCCGCCCUCACCUCGGCGUGUGGUAAGAAAACCCGCCCUUCCAAAGACCGGAUGGAGCUCCUUGUGAUGUGAUGUUUGUAUAGGAGAAAUGUCACUCCUGUCCGUUCUUGACCUUGCUCCUCCCCUCGCGUCGUAAGAGUUGUGAACAGGGAUUAAGGGAAGGAAGGGUAACGCCGCGGAUGCAAAAGAGAGCCUGUGAUGAAGACGAAGCAGACACAACACACGCCAGGCAAAGGCAUCAGGGAAACAAAGUGAACGGAGAGGGGAUUCGAACCAAGGCUACUCAGACGCCCAGAUAACCACGCGCCACCGCCCAACACCUGCCAGCCUCUAUAAGGGAAGCCUGGUGGACGCGUGGUGCUGUUCGGUGAGGUGUUGACGGUGGCCGCUGUGAAGGUGCUGGUGUUGCUGGUCCCGCCGUGCUGAUAUUCACUCUGGGUUUUGUGUCCUCGGCUGCGAGUGGUCUGGUCCCAGGCUGGCGCGGUCGGUGCAGCUGCUGCCGGUGUUGCGACAGCGAGAGAGGACUUGCAACGCUUCGGGCACACACGCACAUCUCUGCUGGGCAAGUCUGCUGUGACUUCUCUGAUGAACAACUGUGAUUCCUGUGUUAGACUUUCUCGUUAGACUUGUGUGUCAAUAAUGUUGUUGAUCCUAAGCAGCCGAAGUUAUAAGUCCUAGACUUCCUCGUUUUUUUUUUUUAAUCAAAUUUUUCGGCGGGCUUUUGCGGAUAAAAUGUCCGGGCCUUCUUUUAGGUAUCGUAAGUAUAUUAAACGGCACAUUUCCUUUCCUGGAAGCUUGUAGUUAUCGAUAGCGACUGUAACCAAAAUAAACAAACAAACCUUAUGUU